rnacentral:rRNA from 1 species
UACGUAGGGUGCAAGCGUUGUCCGGAAUUAUUGGGCGUAAAGAGCUCGUAGGCGGUCUGUCGCGUCGGCUGUGAAAUCCCGAGGCUCAACCUCGGGUCUGCAGUCGAUACGGGCAAACUGGAGUGUUGCAGGGGAGACUGGAAUUCCUGGUGUAGCGGUGAAAUGCGCAGAUAUCAGGAGGAACACCGAUGGCGAAGGCAGGUCUCUGGGCAUUAACUGACGCUGAGGAGCGAAAGCUAGGGGAGCAAACAGG